UGAAGGUAUUGACGUGUCUCAAUUUGAAAGGUACAUGGUUUAAUGUUUGCUAAAAAAAUUGGGAAAAUUAUUAAUUUGUGUUAGGGCUUAGCCGUGUGUGUUUUCUGAUUGAGCCGCGUCAAUAUCUCUUCUCAAA